rnacentral:lncRNA from 1 species
GGGCCAGGAAUACCAGGCAUAGAGUGCCAUGAACCGUGCCGUGUUCACCUUCAUAUCCCCCUGAACCUGCGUCUGGAGCGCCGCCGGGUUGUCGUAGCAGAAGCAGCUGCCGAAGCCGAGGAAGCACAUGAGCGCGAGGACGAGCAGGCGGUGCGGGAGGCGGCUCGGGUCACACACGGCGGGCAGGGCGCGGGGGGGGGCCGCGGAGCCGCCAUCGCCGCCGUCGGGGCCCAGUAGGGCCCGCUCCUCCUCCGCCAUGGCUCCCCCGUCACCUGGGCGACACCGCGUGACCGCGCGUCACGUGAGUGGUGCGGCCCACAAUGCGCCGCGGCUGCCAUGGCAACGGGCGGGCCCGGCGCGGCCUGCUGGGCCUUCCGGAGGCGCGAAGGGAGAACCCUUUUUAGGUCAAAUUCGGCCUAAAACGUGGCCCUGAGACAGGAACUUUAAAGUCCUGGGCACCAAGCAGUGUAUCUCGUGAGGCCUUAUGCCUAUCCUGCCUUCUGGACAGCAGAGAUUUGUCCUAAAAUUGUGCCCUUUUGUGCCUUCUAAGAGGCCCCACUUAUUUUACCGCCUUUUCCAGUGUGUUUUCCUGCAGUCUCUGUUACCCCGGAGGAUAUCACAAAUCCUACCAGGAUGUCAGCUGCGUACAACAUCCCUAGCAUCUCAGCAAUGAUAAGCACGCCUGGAUGGGCAUUAUUUCAAUUGCUCACACACAGACAG